rnacentral:siRNA from 1 species
CUUUAUGAUUUCGUGCUGAAC